GUGCUUGCUUUGGCAGCACAUAUACUAAAAUUGGAACGAUACAGAGAUUAGCAUGGCCCCUGCGCAAGGAUGACACACAAAUUUGUGAAGCGUUCCAUAUUUUU
ensembl:snRNA U6 U6 spliceosomal RNA